rnacentral:rRNA from 1 species
AUGUACCCCGCAGCUUGGCCAGUUGUUGAAAAGGAGACUACAGAAACAUGGAAAUGGUUCAUUGGGUUGCUAAUUAAGGAUUUAGAUAUAAAUGAUCAAGGAGCUAGGUGGGUUUUCAUAUCUGACCAACAAAAGGUAAACAUUGUUGUUGUAUGCUUUGUUAUUUGUUGCUCCUGCAAUUGUUAUAUUUGUUGUUGUUGCAACUAUUAUAUUUGUUAUGUGCUGCAAAAUUGUUAUAUUUGUUGUUGUAUGCUAUGUUAUUUGUUAGGAUAG